rnacentral:rRNA from 1 species
UACGUAGGGUGCAAGCGUUAAUCGGAAUUACUGGGCGUAAAGCGUGCGCAGGCGGUUUUGUAAGUCUGUCGUGAAAGCCCCGGCUUAACCUGGGAAUUGCGAUGGAGACUGCAAGGCUUGAAUCUGGCAGAGGGGGUAGAAUUCCACGUGUAGCAGUGAAAUGCGUAGAGAUGUGGAGGAACACCGAUGGCGAAGGCAGCCCCUGGGUCAAGAUUGACGCUCAUGCACGAAAGCGUGGGGAGCAAACAGG